rnacentral:rRNA from 1 species
GCGGACCGAAAGGAGAGCUCGCUCUCCUUUCAGUCAGCGGCGGACGGGUGAGUAACACGUGGGUAACCUGCCUGUAAGACCGGGAUAACUCGCGGAAACGCGAGCUAAUACCGGAUAGGUCCCGUGGCCGCAUGGCGACGGGAGGAAAGAUGGCGCGAGCUAUCGCUUACAGAUGGGCCCGCGGCGCAUUAGCUAGUUGGUGGGGUAACGGCCCACCAAGGCGACGAUGCGUAGCCGACCUGAGAGGGUGAUCGGCCACAUUGGGACUGAGACACGGCCCAAACUCCUACGGGAGGCAGCAGUAGGGAAUCUUCCGCAAUGGGCGAAAGCCUGACGGAGCAACGCCGCGUGAGCGAAGAAGGCCUUCGGGUCGUAAAGCUCUGUUGUCAGGGAAGAACAAGUACCGGAGUAACUGCCGGUACCUCGACGGUACCUGACCAGAAAGCCCCGGCUAACUACGUGCCAGCAGCCGCGGUAAUACGUAGGGGGCGAGCGUUGUCCGGAAUCAUUGGGCGUAAAGCGCGCGCAGGCGGUCCCUUAAGUCUGAUGUGAAAUCUUGCGGCUCAACCGCAAGGGGUCAUUGGAAACUGGGGGACUUGAGUGCA